AAAAAGUUUACGAAGCGCCUCUGCCACACUUACCGACUGGAAAAGCCGCAAGCAAAAGUGCUAUACGAAAUAUCGAGGCCCAUUCUCUGAAACAUUCCAAAUAACGUAUGAUGUUGCGAGGUCUCGUGAAAGGCGUUGGUCGUCAACGGACCGAUGAAGAAACUUAAUGUCGAACCGCGCGGUCGACAUCGAGGUGCAGCGUCAUAGUCAUCAUCGACGACAUCGUCGUCGUCGUCAUUGUCGUCGCCACUCCGUGAAUCUCUCGACUCCCGCUAGACAAAAAUUGGCCGCUAUUUGGGGCGCAUGCGCGGACGGCGUUAACGCGGUCGACGCCGUUCGCGGCUGCUCGUCGUCGUGAGAGCAGCGAUACUCCGCGGAUAGUCCGGGAGCGGCUGCGUCGGCGAGGUUCGUCGGACGUGCUGGUCAACAUGGCGUCGACCGAGCAGGUCGGCCUCAACAAGACCUGGGAGUUAUCACUCUACGAGCUCCACCGCACGCCCCAGGAUGCUAUAACGGACAACACGGAGAUCGCCGUCAGCCCUAGGAGUCUGCACAGUGAGCUUAUGUGCCCGAUAUGCCUGGAUAUGCUGAAGAAGACGAUGACGACGAAGGAGUGCCUUCACCGUUUUUGCUCGGACUGCAUCAUCACGGCCCUCAGGAGCGGAAACAAGGAAUGUCCUACGUGCAGAAAGAAACUUGUUUCAAAACGUUCUUUGCGGCCAGAUCCAAAUUUUGACUUAUUAAUUUCUAAAAUUUAUCCAAGUCGAGAUGAAUACGAAGCUCAUCAAGAACGUGUUUUAGCAAAAUUAAACAAUUCACAUUCUCAAGCAGCUCUUGUAAAUUCUAUUACCGAAGGAAUUAAGUUACAAAGUCAAAAUAGGCCUCAGCGUUCAAGAAAAAAUGCCAAUGAGCUUGAAAAUGCCAACAGUACUGCAUCGUAUAAUAACACGCCAAAUGUCAGCGCACCCACGACACCAAAUCCAGCUAUCACAGCAGCUAAUCAAAGUGAUUCAUCCCAAAGUGCAAUCGGCCAAUCGAGUAAUGGUGGCAGUAGGGAAAAUCAUUCGACAAAUUCAAACGGUGUGCCUCAGCCUUCGAUCAGUCCUGCAGUCUCUGGUACAACGUCAAGAAACUCAACAACACCUUCGCCAGUGCCAUCGAAUCCCAAGCCUCCAAAACGACAAAAGAGCCUUCAAAAUUCAGAAAAUGAUUCGUCUAGUGCCGAGGUUGAAACCGGCGGUAAUGAUUCCAUGAUAGACACUGAAGGAGAAGGAUCUAGUGAACCUUUGAUGCUGAAUGAAAUAGAAUUAGUAUUUAAACCACAUCCUACAGAGAUGGCUGGCGAUAAUUCUUUAAUUAAAGCUCUUAAGGAAAAUAGUAUUAGAUAUAUUAAAACUACAGCUAAUGCUACAGUGGAUCAUUUAAGUAAAUAUUUGGCAAUGAGACUGACACUGGAUUUGGAUACAGAACUACUUUCCGAGUCUGAUAGGUUACUGAACUUUUGCAUUUAUAUUGCACCAACACCGGGCCAACUUGUGGUUCUAAGUGGUUCACAAACCCUUCGCCAAGUAAAUGAUAAGUUUUGGCGAGUCAAUCGACCAUUAGAGAUGUAUUAUUCAUGGAAAAAAACCUAGGGCAGGGCUUAUAAAUCUCAGGUGGACAAUGGUUAAAUGCAUUCCAUAAAAUCUCCGGAAUGGCAAAAUUACGUGUAUGCGAAAAAUUAAGAUGCAUUACCAAUUGAUUAAGGACAAGUUUGAAGUUUAUAUUUACGUUGACCACAGAUUCCAUUUGUAUUUAUUCUAUCAACAUAUCGACACACGUACAGAAAACAUGCACGCAUAAGUAAAUUUUGAAAUAAAAUUCUUCAAAAAAAAUUGAAACACGAAAGAGGAUGCAACUGUAGUAACAUAAUACCUAAUUAUGCAAGUAUUUAAGAGUGAAAAUAUUAAUAUUAUGAUUAUUAUGUAUUCUAAAAUUACAUGAAUGAUAUU